GACGAACGCUGGCGGCGUGCUUAACACAUGCAAGUCGAGCGGUAAGGCCCUUUCGGGGGUACACGAGCGGCGAACGGGUGAGUAACACGUGGGUGACCUGCCCUCAGCUCUGGGAUAAGCCUGGGAAACCGGGUCUAAUACCGGAUAUGACUCCAUGACGCAUGUUGUGGGGUGGAAAGCCUUGUGCGGCUGAGGAUGGGCCCGCGGCCUAUCAGCUUGUUGGUGGGGUGANGGCCUACCAAGGCGACGACGGGGUAGCCGGCCUGAGAGGGCGGACCGGCCACACUGGGAC
rnacentral:rRNA from 1 species